rnacentral:rRNA from 1 species
UACGUAGGGCCCGAGCGUUAUCCGGAUUUAUUGGGCGUAAAGCGCAUGCAGGUGGAUCUUCCAGUCGGUUUUCAAAGUCCGUGGCUCAACUGCGGUUCUGGAACCGAUACUAAAGAUCUUUGAGGAUAGCAGGGGCAAGCGGAAUUCCCGGUGUAGCAGUGAAAUGCGUUGAUAUCGGGAAGAACACCAAUGGCGAAGGCAGCUUGCUAGGUUAUCCUGACACUCAGAUGCGAAAGCGUGGGGAGCGAACGGG